rnacentral:tRNA from 1 species
GGGGAUUUGGCUCAGUGGUAGAGCGCUUGCCUAGCAAGCACAAGGCCCUGAGUUCGAUCCCCAGCUCUG